rnacentral:tRNA from 1 species
GGGGAUAUGGCUCAAGUGGUAGAGUGCUUGCCUAGCAUGCAUGAGGCACUGGGUUCGAUUCUCAGCACCA